rnacentral:rRNA from 1 species
UACGGGGGGGAGCAAGCGUUGUUCGGAUUUACUGGGCGUAAAGGGCGCGUAGGCGGCGCAACAAGUCACUUGUGAAAUCUCCGGGCUUAACCCGGAGCGGCCAAGUGAUACUGUCGUGCUAGAGUGCGGAAGGGGCUACUGGAAUUCUCGGUGUAGCGGUGAAAUGCGUAGAUAUCAAGUGGAACACCAGUGGCGAAGGCGAGUCUCUAGACAUUUCCUGACGCUGAGGCACGAAAGCCAGGGGAGCAAACGGG